UACGUAGGGUGCAAGCGUUAAUCGGAAUUACUGGGCGUAAAGCGUGCGCAGGCGGUGAUGUAAGACAGAUGUGAAAUCCCCGGGCUCAACCUGGGAACUGCAUUUGUGACUGCAUCGCUGGAGUACGGCAGAGGGGGAUGGAAUUCCGCGUGUAGCAGUGAAAUGCGUAGAUAUGCGGAGGACACCGAUGGCGAAGGCAAUCCCCUGGGCCUGUACUGACGCUCAUGCACGAAAAGCGUGGGGAGCAAACAGG
rnacentral:rRNA from 1 species